rnacentral:rRNA from 1 species
CCUACGGGGGGCUGCAGUGAGGAAUAUUGGUCAAUGGACGAGAGUCUGAACCAGCCAAGUAGCGUGAAGGAUGACUGCCCUAUGGGUUGUAAACUUCUUUUAUAUGGGAAUAAAAUGUUCCACGUGUGGGAUUUUGUAUGUACCAUAUGAAUAAGGAUCGGCUAACUCCGUGCCAGCAGCCGCGGUAAUACGGAGGAUCCGAGCGUUAUCCGGAUUUAUUGGGUUUAAAGGGAGCGUAGGUGGAUUGUUAAGUCAGUUGUGAAAGUUUGCGGCUCAACCGUAAAAUUGCAGUUGAAACUGGCAGUCUUGAGUACAGUAGAGGUGGGCGGAAUUCGUGGUGUAGCGGUGAAAUGCUUAGAUAUCACGAAGAACUCCGAUUGCGAAGGCAGUUCACUGCACUGCAACUGACACUGAGGCUCGAAAGUGUGGGUAUCAAACAGGAUUAGAUACCCGUGUAGUC